rnacentral:rRNA from 1 species
UACGUAGGGGGCAAGCGUUGUUCGGAUUCACUGGGCGUAAAGGGUGCGCAGGUGGUCGGGUAAGUCUGAUGUGAAAUCCCGCAGCUCAACUGCGGAAUGGCAUUGGAUACUAUUUGGCUAGAGGGUUGGAGGGGGGACUGGAAUUCUCGGUGUAGCAGUGAAAUGCGUAGAUAUCGAGAGGAACACCAGUGGCGAAGGCGAGUCCCUGGACAACUCCUGACGCUGAGGCACGAAAGCUAGGGGAGCAAACAGG